CGUGAGCUGGGCACAUGCCGUGCCCAAAACAGAGGUGCCCAGGCACCGGCGGAACAGGCCACUGAGCCGGGAAGGGCCGCGGCGGGGGGUCAGGACGCUGGGUCUAGUUCUGGUUCUGUCGGGUCACACAGGCCAAGUACUUCCCCUUUGCAUCUCGAUGUCCAGGGGUAGAACCAGUAAGGGCGGCUUUGGCAAGCAGUGACUGGUGGGCAACAUUGACCGAGAGCAUGCCCGAGGGGCAGGCGCUGCUCCAGGAAGAGGGCACGGAGGUGAGCCCCGAGGAGCUGACCCUCCGGAAGGGGAGGUGGACACUAAACACACACAAGAAUACAUGUUUACGACCCGGGCUAGCAUGCAGAAGACGACCCAGCAGGACGAGGAAGAGGGGACGAGGGCACGGGGAGUCCACAAGGCCUCUCUGAGGAGGUGACGUUCAGAAUGGCAGACGCUCACUGAGGACUGGCUCCGGGGAGGCCCUGUGCAAGCCCAUCCAGAUACCAACGCAUUUAUUCCCCUCAGCAGCCUGGAUGAAGGAAUGAGGCCCAGAGAGGUGAAGCCAUAUGCCCAAAGUCACACAGCUGGGAUACUUUCCAACCCAGCGGAUAGGCUCCAGGAUCUGUGCUGUCAAUCACAUUGAAGCUGAGAUCUGCACGGCAAACACCUGGGGAAUGAUGUCAGAGCAGGGAACAGUGUAUACGAACAGGGCCACCCUGGGCAUGGUAAAGGAAGAGAGAGAAGGCCAGUGUGGGACAGAGCAAGGGGGCACAAGGCUGGGGUGACCUGCAGCGGAGGCAAAGCCUGCAGGCCAGCCUUAGGACCUGGAUUUAUCCCAAGGGUAGGGGGAGCCCCUGGAGAGUUUUGUGCGGCCCCAGCGAGGACUCAACCUGUUUGGCUAAAAGCCCGGGCUUGUCCCUGCCCAGCCGCCCCGCCCCCACUCUGCGAGGGGAUCUGAGGGCCCACGCUGGGCUCUGCCCUGUAAGCAGUUGCUAGUGGGGACUUUCUAGCAGGGGCCCGCAGAGCUCAAGCACUUACCCCCGACACCCUGGAGCCCCCCAGCCUCCCCGUGACCCGAGUUGCUGUGGGAUGGGCUGAAGGCGGCUGCUGUUUUUUGCAAAGAGGAACCAGCCAAGGAUGGGCCAUAACACCCUUGGCCAAGGGCCACACCACCAGUGACACAGAGAAGAAAACGCUCUAGUGCGUGGGGCGUAGACCCUCCCCUCCCCGUGGGUCUGGAGAGAACGGGGCGGCUUCGAUGCUGUCUGAUCCGCGCAAGUCACCUCUCGGAGCUGAACAGGCACUUCCACACUUGGGGCUGGUUGGGAGGAGGAACCCCAAGCCCCGGCUGUCCCCUGCCAGCUGUGGCCCUACUGCACGCUGGCCCCAGCCCACUGCAGGGGGAUGGCGUCCCCUUCCUGCCCUCGAGGUACUAAUGUCAUGACAGGGCAGAGGGGCUUGCUCUGUUAAAGUAACACAAAAGUGCUUCUGCAGGUUCAGGACAGGAGUCACGUGUCCGAACAAGACAGGCUUCAAGGAAUAGGGCCUGUGACCCGAUCCUGGCCAGGCCCGCAGCCUGGCUGGCCCUGGACUCCUGCAGGAAGGCGAGGGUCCAGGAAUGGUCAAGCCUCACGGAGUCUGUCUGAGGGGACUCGGACCCCAACGUCACUUGGUGGAUUUGCAGCAUCUGCUGCCGUGACCAGAGCUCAGCCGAGGAGGUGGAUGCAGGAGCUGGCGGAGGCUGCCAUGACGCCUACAGGGCGCUCGGGCACCCGUUUUCACGCACAGCGGGUAAGUCAGCAGGCAACGGCCUCCCGGCCCUGACUCACCAGCCACAGGCCUGUCACUCUUCUCCCCAUCAGCAUCCCCACCACCCCCGGCCGGUUUUGCCGGAAGUAGGGGUGGGGAGGGGUCAACCUUGAUCCUGAGGCAGGCUCUGCAGAGCCCAAGAUUAUUUCUGGAGGCCACAAAAAAAGAGACACAAGAAAAAAGAAAGGCUCGCUUUCCAUUUCCUCAAACUUCCCCUUUUAAGCCUGAGAACCUACAGCUACCCUCCUCUCGCUGGCUGUGAAAAGCAGAGGCAGCCCCUCCUCCACUCUACAGAUACUGGAGAGAGACAGGCCACCCAAGGCAUCGAGGGCACGCCUGGGCCCAUGCUCAGAGCCCAGCCACCCCCAACUCUGCCACUGACCGGAGCUCUGCCGGAAGUCACAGCUCCAUGGAAACCAGCCAGGGCACUCCUUGCUGUACGGCCCUGAGCAAGUCGCCUCUCUCAGCCUCAGUGUUACCGUCUGUAAGACGGGCGCAUGUCCCAUCUCCAGCCAUGAGAACUCCCAGGCCAUUGAAUGCUUGUAAACAGCUCCCUGCUCUCAUUGCUUCUCUUUUAAACACGUUUCUCCUCAACAAGGAAGGACCUUCUUCCUUCCUCGAUCCAAAAUUGCCUCACCCUCACUCAGAAAUUCAGCUCGAGGAGAGUCUGGCGCCUGCAGAGUGAAUAGCCUGGGAUUUAGCAGGACAGAGGUGUGACUGACUAGCGACACCUGCUGCCCGCGUUCCGUGUCCCAGAGCAAAGGGGCUUGUUGCCUGGACUUCCGCUCCACUUACCUGGAAGUCAAGUUUCAGGCAUCUUCCAUCAUCCGGAGCCCACCUGAGAUCCCCAGGGGCUACGGAACCACUCAUCCCGGGCUGCCUCACGCCCCCACACACGGGCUCAUGCCGUUCCCUGAGCCUGGCACACUUUCCCCGAGCAGCCCAUGGGUGAUUCCCCAGGACGAUGGCCCCAAGGACCCCCCAGUGCCUUCCCUUGGCUCCUCAGGCCACCCCACCUCUGCCCCUACUCACCAGCCCCUGCUACAAUUGUCUGCUUCCUCCUCUGUCGCCCAGGCCUGCUUCCUGACACCCAGGACAAGGCUGAGCAUGGUGAACACUGCUCGGAUGGAACACUCAGUGCCCAGGGCUCUGGGGACACCCAGUGUAGGAGGAAAUACCUUCCACCUUGUAGCUGCGAGGGCUCCUCGAUUUGGGGGACAGAGCAAAGAACAAUGGCAGACAUUUAGGACAUAGGCAGGACUGUCAACAGAGGCAGGAUGGGCCCUACACACCCUCUGAUGGAGAGAGGGGAUGCGUUCCUGGCCUCUGAGCAGUUCCCCCCAAAUGGUCAAAACCCUUUACGGCUUUGCCUUUUUUUGAGACGAGCCCCAAAUCUUUAGGAAAUCAAUUUUCAUGAAACAACGUGUUCCCUGAGCAUCUACCAAAAAUGACUUUGAAGUGAAUUCUCCCCUGAUCCCCUAAAGAUUUGCCAAGGGGAAUCUUUCUGGAUCUUGUGCCAAAACCAAAGGCUCAAAAUAGGGCCUUAGAGGUUUUGGCACAUGCAAAUGCAAGCCCAUUUUCCAGGUGAGGAAACUGAGGCCCGAGACCCACAGCAGAGCAACGACAAGAGAUACCAGCCUCUUUCACAGAUGGACCACCAGAGCUGGAUGGAACUCAUUUCACAGAGGGGAAACUGAGGCCGGAAGGAGGUGAUGGAGGGCAGGGACACUCCCAACCCCCCCAAGCUAGUGGAAUACAGUGAUGCAGAGGCUGAAAGUAAAGCUCCCGCCCCAGAACUGGGUGGACCGGACUCCUGUCUAACCCCGUCAGGUUGGCAGGUGUUAAGGCGGCAGCAGCGGCCACUUCCAGGGCCACAAGAUGGUGCCUAAGAGCAGCUACCGCUCAGCUAGAAGAGCUCAGUCCUGAAAUCCACUCCAGGGGCGGCGGCCACGGGAGGACUGACGUUUCUCAGCCGUGGUCUUCCUCCGCGUGCAGACCACCCCCGGGGCAACCCAGACGUCCUCCCUCCCCCUCCACCGUGCACCUCGACCGCGUCUGCCAAGAGCACAGGGCUGGGGAUGCGGCACUGCCUCCUCACUGUGGGCAGCAGCGGUUGGGAUGGCAGCAACUCAAAACAAGGCCACCCCAACCGCUAGAAGUUCCACAGAGGCGUGCCUUGAACUCUGCUCCCACCAGCUUAGCCAAGAUUGUUUCUAGCCACUCCCUGACAUGUUGCCCUCAGCUCAAGAACCAUCAGUGGCUCCCAGCUGCUUUCACAAUCUCUAAAUAUCCCCACACUCGGAAUCCAAGGCUCAUUACACUUGCCUGUCCCUGUCCCCAAUCUCUGCCACUUUAUUUCUCCUCUUGUCCUGCUUGAGUCCUGGGACCUCCUUGCUCCCCAGCAUGCUAUUCAACCCUGCACUUUGUUUGUGUGUUCUCUUAUGUUUAGGUGGACCCCACCCACCUUGAAGACCUGGCCCAAGUGUCGCCUCCUCCAGGAAGCCCUUCCUGACCACCCCACUCUUUCCCCUUGUCUCCUCUGGCCUGCGUCACCCCCUGUUCACCAGGCACUGGGCUCUCGCUUAGAACUGUGCCACUCUGGACACAGUUCAAAGUUCUCCUUGGGUAACCCCAGUUUCUUCAUCUAGAAAGCGGGCCCCGUAUCUGUAAAACUGGCCCUGGCGGGGCCGACCCGGUGGCGCAGCGGUUAAGUUCACACGUUCCGCUUCUCGGCGGCCCAGGGUUCACUGGUUCGGAUCCCGGGUGCAGACAUGGCACCGCUUGGCAGCCAUGCUGUGGUAGGCGUCCCACGUAUAAAGUAGAGGAAGAUGGGCACGGGUGUUAGCUCAGAGCCAGGGUUCCUCAGCAAAAAGAGGAGGACUGGCAGUAGUUAGCUCAGGGCUAAUCUUCCUCAAAACAAAACAAAACAAAAAAAACUGGCCCUGGCGGAAUCUCUGGGCUCUUGGGCAGAGCUGGUGAACGACCAAGACCCUCACAGCUGCCUAAGCAUCAGCAUCGCCUGGGACUCCAGCUGGACAUGCAGACGCCUGGGCCCACCACAGACCCCCGACUCUGAAUCUUCAAGGCUCUGAAGCCAGCACCCCAGGCGGAUCUCAGACGCAAGGAAGGGUGGAAACAGUGGUGCUGAUGACCUGGAGACACUUGGUAAAGUGUAAAACAAAAUCAACCAAUGAAAAAGACUAUUACUGGCUGACGAUAAUGCAUGUGAGCACGCGUGGGUCUCCCUUGCCAGACUGUGAGCCUCCAGGGGCUGGGCCAGGGUUUGAUUUCUGCCAGCGCAGUCAGUCCAGCGCCCACCCCACGGACCAUCUGCCCAGACUUGAUACUUCGCCAGAGGUUUUCCUAUUCCCGGUUGCCACUGCUCCUUACAGCACCCCUGGGGGAGGGGCGCUUUUGCCCCCAUUUUACAGAUUAGGAAACUGAGGCUCAGCGAGAAGACAUGACCUGGCCUAAGGCUACCCAGUGAUGGCGUGACAGAGCGGGGAUUUGAAAGCAGGACAAGGUCGACACUCCGUUCAUCUGCUUGCUAAAGUACAAAGGAGUAGAGAAACAGGCUAGGGCCGACAGGUGGACGACCUGCGGCUUCUAGGGCAGGGACUAGGGUUGGGUGUGUCUGUUCCUGGGGCGACAAGCGUCAGAGACCCCAACCCAGGAGGGCACAAAGGACGCUGGACCUGGCUCUGAAGCCUGGCAAGGGGCAGAGUCCACUGCACAGGCCUCAGUGUCUCCAAAGACAGGGACGAGGCAAAGGGCAUAUCGCCUGGGACUCGGGGACCCCUGGCUGCCACCCCAGCACAGGGGGUCGCCUUUUCCCAAAAGUGGAGGCAACGGGGGCCUUCCCAAAAGGAGAAACACCUGCCCCUAAAAUGCCAGCUCCCGAAGCACAAGGGACAACAGCAAGAAAGGUCCCAGGGGCCACGGUGAGGCCCCAGCCCUGCCAGGGACCACUGCCUGACCAGUGAAAGGCCUGCCCCUCUCCAGGCUGCGGCCUGGACCAGCUGACCAGGAGACCCCCAAGAGCUGGGAGGGGCAGUGUCCUAACUGUCCCUCCCCACACAAAUGCACACACACACACACGUGCACACAGGUAGACAGACACACACACGUGCACACAGACACACACACACAAGUGCACACAGGUAGACACACACACACACAAGCGCACACAGGUUGACACACACACACAAGUGCACACAGGUAGACACACACACACAAGUGCACACAGGUAGACACACACAGACACAAGUACACACAGGUAGACAUACACACACAGACACAAGUACACACAGGUAGACAUACACACACAGGUAGACAUACACACACAGGUGCACACAGGUAGACACACACACACAAGUGCACACAGGUAGACACACACACACACAGCCCUCUCUCUCUCUGCAAAGACAACCUCCCCAGCAGAAGAGGCAGGCCAUAACUAAGCCUCUCUGUGCCUCAGUUUCCUUAAAUACAGAAUGGGGAGAGUAACAGUACCCACCUUUUAGGGUUGCUGACAGAUGAAAUGAGCUGAUAUGUACAGACUGCUUAGAACAGCACCCUGACAAGGUGUGCGCCAGGAUGAUGACCAAAAGGACGCACAUUCUCCCCAAGACGAGUGGUGGCCUCGACUCACAGCAAAGGCCCCGCUGGGCAUCUCCUGUGUGCCAGGCCGCUGGGCGCCCUACAGAUCAUCUCAGAGCCAGGACCAGGGUUCAAAUGCAGGGCACCCAGCUCUGAGACGCGGGCAUCACCCCACACCCCUGCCUCCUCCCGGCUGCCCCUGCCCUUCCACUCCAAUGGCCUCUCCUCUUCUGCAGUGGGUGGGACUGGAGGGCCCUGGAGACCCCCCAGCACACUCGCUGACUGAGGGAUGAUGUGAGUGCCAUGGGCCUGGGGAUCUGAGCAUGGAUGUGGAAACCUCCUGUCACCUCCCCCACCUAGUCUUGGGGUGCGGUCAGGAGAGCAUCUUGGGAAGCAGAACGCAGGUGGAGGGGGAGGGAGCCAGAACAGGGCCUGCAGCUCCCCAUACAAGGUGUGGGUGCCCUCUGUUCCUUGGGCAGGCGCCUGCCAAGCCAGGGAGGCAGAAGUUCCAGGGGCUGGGGUCUGGAGUGGAGAGCAGACAAAGGCUUUGCUGCGAACACCGCUGGGAAAUGGGGCUGCAGAGCGGCUGCGACGACCACGGCGGGAACUGCGGACCAGCUACUUGGAG
rnacentral:lncRNA from 1 species